rnacentral:tRNA from 2 species
GCAGGCGUAGUUCAUCGGUAGAACACGAGCUUCCCAAGCUCGGGAGGCGGGUUCGAUUCCCGUCGCUUGCU